AUCCCUUUGUGGUUCAUGAGCAUGAUGGCUGGGUUUUCACACUGAUGUGUGAGAUGUGCCUCCCUCAAACUUCAUCAUGAUGUGGCACGUUACCCAUCUGACG